rnacentral:rRNA from 1 species
GGAGGAUGCAAGCGUUAUCCGGAAUGAUUUGGCGUAAAGCGUCCGCAGGUGGCGAUGUAAGUCUGCUGUUAAAGAGUGAGGCUCAACCUCAUAAGAGCAGUGGAAACUACAUAGCUAGAGUGCGGUAGGGGCAGAGGGAAUUCCUGGUGUAGCGGUGAAAUGCGUAGAGAUCAGGAAGAACACCGGUGGCGAAAGCGCUCUGCUAGGCCGCAACUGACACUGAGGGACGAAAGCUAGGGGAGCGAAUGGG